rnacentral:rRNA from 1 species
AUUGAACGCUGGCGGCAUGCUUUACACAUGCAAGUCGAACGGCAGCGCGGGCUUCGGCCUGGCGGCGAGUGGCGAACGGGUGAGUAAUGCAUUGGAACGUGCCCAGUAGUGGGGGAUAGCCCGGCGAAAGCCGGAUUAAUACCGCAUACGACCUGAGGGUGAAAGCGGGGGACCGAAAGGCCUCGCGCUAUUGGAGCGGCCGAUGUCGGAUUAGCUAGUUGGUGGGGUAAAGGCUUACCAAGGCGACGAUCCGUAGCUGGUCUGAGAGGACGACCAGCCACACUGGGACUGAGACACGGCCCAGACUCCUACGGGAGGCAGCAGUGGGGAAUUUUGGACAAUGGGGGCAACCCUGAUCCAGCCAUGCCGCGUGAGGGAAGAAGGCCUUCGGGUUGUAAACCGCUUUUGUUCGGGAAGAAAUCCUCUGGGCUAAUACCCCGGGGGGAUGACGGUACCGGAAGAAUAAGCACCGGCUAACUACGUG